rnacentral:rRNA from 1 species
UACGAAGGGGGCUAGCGUUGUUCGGAAUUACUGGGCGUAAAGCGCGCGCAGGUGGUCCUUCAAGUCAGGGGUGAAAGCCCAGAGCUCAACUCUGGAACUGCCUUUGAGACUGUGGGACUUGGGUACGGGAGAGGUGAGUGGAAUUCCGAGUGUAGAGGUGAAAUUCGUAGAUAUUCGGAAGAACACCAGUGGCGAAGGCGGCUCACUGGCCCGUUACCGACACUCAGGCGCGACAGCGUGGGGAGCAAACAGG